CCUGGCCCCAAUUCUACCCUCUGCUGGAAUGCAGGUGACCAAGACCAAAGCAGAAUCCAAAAUGUUGACCACCAGAACUCUGGCCAUAUGUGUCACAUCAAGGACCACACAUGUCCCCAGCUCAGGGCCCCAAGUGACAUAGCCUCCACCACCCCAGGUCCCCUCACCAGGACAGUUAGCACCAGGCCCUGGACGUGGUCGUGUAGCUGGGAGGCAUGUGUACAGAACAGGACCAGGUAGCUCUGCUCCACCUGAGGAGAUGGCAUUGGCAUUGGAGAGAGGCAUGGGAGGCCUGAAUGGGGGCGCAGAUGUGAGUGCAGGGAGAGUCAGUCUAGGAUACAGCCUUCUGGCCCUUGGCAAGCAGCAGUGUGUGGAUUCGGAGGGUGGAGGCCUCUCACCUAUCCCAAUCCAGGUGCUUAGUGGACACCUAGAGGGUGCCAGUGCUGGAGGCUGCAAUCCCCUGGCUGGG
rnacentral:lncRNA from 1 species